rnacentral:ncRNA from 1 species
UUUUCUUCUAUUCCCUUUGGAAACGUAGAUAAAAAAUAUUAUGCCGAUCGAUCUGGCCAUGAGCAGGUUCGAGAAAUAUUCAACCGAUCAAUCUGGCCAUGAGCAGGUUGAGGACUGAACCCACACGGAUGACUUGUGGCUGAAACGCCAACCACUAUCCGAUACGGCUGGUUUUCUGCGAAAUCUAUAUCAGUAUAGCGAGCUUAGAAUAAGGCCCGAAGUGGAGCGGAGCGGAGCGGAGGGUGGACAAAGCUUGACCAACCCCAACGAAACUCCGAAUACAGCCUUAAUGAAACGUACAGACAGACUUUGGGUGCUAGGAUCUUGAGUCCAGAGGGAAACAGCCCAUAUCGUACGCUAAGCUCCCUAAACAAUCGCUUAGUGAAAAAGGAAGUGAUCUUGCGAUGACAACCGGGAGGUGGGCCUGGAAGUAGCCAUCCUUCCAAGAAAGCAUAAUAGCUCACUGGUCUA